rnacentral:rRNA from 1 species
UACGUAGGAGGCGAGCGUUGUCCGGAAUUACUGGGCGUAAAGCGCACGUAGGCGGACUUGUCAGUCAGGGGGUGAAAAUCCCGGGGCUCAACCUCGGAACUGCCUCUGAUACAGCAAAGUCUUGAGUCCGGAAGAGGUGGGUGGAAUUCCUAGUGUAGAGGUGAAAAUUCGUAGAUAUUAGGAAAGAACACCGGUGGCGAAGGCGGCCCACUGGUCCGGUACUGACGCUGAGGUGCGAAAGCGCGGGGAGCAAACAG